rnacentral:lncRNA from 1 species
GUCUUGUUGAAAAUGAAUUUUAGUAUAUGUAGAUGUUUUACUCUUUAAUUUUUCUUUCCAAGAUUUGGGUAUAGCUUUACGUAAAAUACAUGUUUCUGCUAUCCAAUUUUGUUUCCUUUUAAGUUUGUCUAAAAAAAAUUUUUAAGAAAUUUCUCCUUUAUCGUCGAUUAUGUCGUUAAUAAAAAUUAUAUCUUCUUCUAUCCAAUGUUUAAAAUACAAACUUUUGCCUUGAUUUUUAAUAUAUUGAUUUCCCCAUAUAACUUGUUUCCUUAUUUCUAAAAAGUUCUCAGGUUUUUUUGUCUUCCCGCCACCAUUUUUUAUCCAGCAUUUUAAGAUUUCUAAGUAAAAAUUAGGCAGGUUUGUUAUGUUCUUUAAUGAUUUAUGAGAACCCAGAUUCAUUUUAAAUAUGAGGUUCUUACCCCCAAACUCACUGAAAUAGUAGGUUGGAAUAAUUUUCCAGUUUGCCCAAGUUUCAUCUGUAAGACUUUUAACCCAAUUUAUUUUCAUUGCUUCAAUGUAAGAAUCUAGAUCUGUCAUUUUUAACCCCCCUUCUAAAUAAAUUUUUCUUAGCACUGAGCGUUUAACUUUCUCACUACCACCGUCCCAUAAAAAGUUAUAUAUCAUCUUCUUAAACUUAGAUAUAGUUUCUUUGCACAGAUUUAUUAGUGAUGCAAUAUAUGUUAUAUUAGGUAUGACAAGUGUUUUGAUGAUAGUGAUUUUACCAAUCAUGCUAAUUUUCCUUUUUUUUCCAAUCAUUAAUUAUUUUUUCUGAUUUUUCCAACUGUUUUUCUGUAUUAAGUUUUUGACAUUCUUUCUUGUCAGAGCCAAAAUAAAUGCCAAGACUUUUUACGUUAUGUUUCCAAUUAAUGUUUUCGAAUUUGUCUUUGCAGUGUUUAAGUUUACCUAGCCAUAUACCUUCUGUUUUAUUUCUAUUGAGUUUGAGUCCAGAGAGCGAUCCAAAGGUUUCAAUUAUAUUAAGUGCAUGCUUUAUUUCAUUUUUAGAUUUUAAAAAAAGAGUUGUGUCAUCUGCUAAUUGUGAAAUUUUUAGACUAUGAGUUUUUUUUAUCAAUUUUUAUUUGUAUUCCUUUUAUAUCAUUAGAGUCUCUUAUUCUGCAAGCAAGUAAUUCAACUGAUAAAACAAACAAUAAAGCGCUUAAAGGACAUCCUUGUCGAAUUCCGCGCUCAAUGUUGAAGGUUUCUGAAAUCCACCCAUUAUUUAAAAUACAUCCUUUUAUGUCAUAAUAUAGGGUUUUAACCCACUUCUGAAAUGAUUCAUUAAACCCAAAUUUCUUUAAUGAUUCCAACAUAAAAUCCCAUUCCAGUGAAUCAAAUGCUUUAGAAAAGUCGAUAAAUAAUAUAGCUCCUUCAAUAUUAAAAUUUUCAGAAUAAUCUAUAAUGUCUUGAAUUUGACGCACAUUGAAUCCUAUACAGCGAUUUUUUAUGUAUCCAUUUUGGUCUCUAUGGAUUAUUAAUGGUAAGAUUUUUUUAAAGUCUUUGUGCUAAAGUAUAUGUUAUUAAUUUCACAUCUAUAUUUAAUAAAGUUAUUGGACGGUAAUUAUCCAGGGACAAAGGGUCAUUUUUCUUAUAAAUUAAUGAUAUAAUCCCAAUCUUUUGGGUAUUAGAUAAAGAUUCUUUAUCAUAACAAGUAUUAGAAACUUUCAAA